UGGGGAAUUUUGGACAAUGGGCGAAAGCCUGAUCCAGCAAUGCCGCGUGUGUGAAGAAGGCCUUCGGGUUGUAAAGCACUUUUGUCCGGAAAGAAAUCCUUGGCUCUAAUACAGUCGGGGGAUGACGGUACCGGAAGAAUAAGCACCGGCUAACUACGUGCCAGCAGCCGCGGUAAUACGUAGGGUGCAAGCGUUAAUCGGAGUUACUGGGCGUAAAGCGUGCGCAGGCGGUUUGCUAAGACCGAUGUGAAAUCCCCGGGCUCAACCUGGGAACUGCAUUGGUGACUGGCAGGCUAGAGUAUGGCAGAGGGGGGUAGAAUUCCACGUGUAGCAGUGAAAUGCUAGAGAUGUGGAGGAAUACCGAUGGCGAAGGCAGCCCCCUGGGCCAAAUACUGACGCUCAUGCACGAAAGCGUGGGGGAGCAAAACAGGAUUAGAUACCCUGGUAGUCCACGCCCUAAACGAUGUCAACUAGUUGUUGGGGAUUCAUUUCCUUAGUAACGUACUAACGCGUGAAGUUGACCGCCUGGGGGAGUACGGUCG
rnacentral:rRNA from 1 species